GUGACCUCAAAUCAGGUAGGACUACCCGCUGAACUUAAGCCUAUCAAUAAGCGGAGUAAAAGAAACUAACCAGGAUUCCCCUAGUAACUGCGAGAGAAGCGGGAAGAGCUCAAAUUUAAAACUGGCGGUCUUUUGGCUGUCCGAGGUGUGAUCCUAGAGAAGUCGUAUCCGCGCUGGAUCGUGUACAAGGCUCCUUGCAACGGAGCAUCGUAGACGCGUGAGAAUCACGUCUUUGACAUGGACUGCCAGAACUUUGAGAUGUGCUCUCAUACAGUCGAGUAGAUAGGGAUGCAGCUCAGAUGGGUGCGUUCUGCUACUCAUGUCAAUAUGCUGAGAGACUGAGAAGGCACCAGACCCGCGCAGCAAACUGAACGACCUUGAGAGAGAAUUAACCUGACUGA
rnacentral:rRNA from 1 species